UUUUUUAUGUCCAAGGACAGCACUUAGCAGCAGGAGAUGCGUGGUUUUGCUUGGUUUGUUUUCAAAAUAAUGAAUUCGAGAUAGGCGUUGUGUGGUUAGGAGGAUGUGAUGCAGUUCUUCUAGGUUGUGGAACUGUCACAUGCGAUUGAUCUCACGGUUUUGAAUGUUCAAUUUCAGUCGUGGACAUGAAUCCUGGGCAAUGGAGGUGAGCAUCAACCACCUGCGAAUCUGUCUACGCAAAGGUCAUGGAGAGAUCUCUGGGUUAGGGUGUUGGUCUUGGUCAUGUGGCGUCCUGACGUAAAUUGUCCUACAAGGAUUCUCACCGUAUAACAUAAAAAUCCAAAUAAUCCCCUAGAAUUUUGUUAGUGGUGCUUUGCGUAUCUUUUCAUUUUUGAACAAUAUGAAGUACAUAGAUUUGGGCAUGGAUAUUGAUUCCUGUUCAAGUCGAUUAAUAGCGUGUUUGUAUAACAGCUUUGAUUCCCUCUGCUGUCCUGUUCAGUUUGCUUGUUCUGAGCACACUUGUAUGUGGCAAUUUAUUCAUGGUGUGCAAUGAUGAGAACUGAUUCUUAUCCUGCAUCCUGGCUUUAGAUGUGACUUAGUGACAAAAAGUCCCAAAUCACAUAGAAUGGGAUCUUGCUGUUUUGUUAUCCUGAUUUCCUAGUCAUGACCAUGUUAGUACGAGAAUUUCCUCUGAGCACGCUGACACACUAGGACACGAAUUUCUUAAAUGGGUGCGUAGAUUUUCUUACUUGUUGCUUACUAUUUUAAGUAGUCCUAAAUUCCAGGAAUCCGUUCUUCUGUUUACGACUAGUUAGCACCUCCACAUUCCAUGGCGUUUUUCACAGUGAGCAAAAUUUAUGACAAUAUCAAAAGACAGAAGUCUGACGAAACUGGAAACCCCACAGUCCAUGCAGAGAAGGUUUUGCUAUCUCUCUUCCCUACAGGAGAAUCGUUCAUUAGGGUUUCAACAGUUUUAACGAAAGACCAAGCUUUCCUAUUGCGCAUAUUACGCAUGUUUUUUAAACAAUCCGUAGACGGUUGAAUGUAUGUCAUGACAGAAGCUGAUAAGUGUUGCGAAGAUGCCGCAAAACUCCGCUUCACUCUUCUAGCAGAGUCCUUUUGCUUUGUAAUUGAAAGUUGAUAAUGGAUAGAUUCCAAGCAUGGUGGAUAGAUGGAUACCAGUUGUAUUCAGGGGUAGAGGAUCGUGACAGAAAUUAGCUGCCUCUACAAUGCUCGAUAACUUUAUUAUGAAAUUUAGGGAGCGGUUCCAACUUAGGUGGGCGCUGAUAAUCUCGUCCGCGUUUGUAGUCUUCGGCCCCUUUUCUCUUGUUCAAUGUUUUAUUCGAUAGUUUUCUUGGCUAGAACACACCUAGUGGGAGGCCCUGAAUAUUGAACAUCGAAGCACAAAGUCACGAAGUAUAUGGUUCAUGGGGUUUGCAGAAUCAUUCGCUCGCAUGUGAGUAUAAGUUCUACUUCAUACGGUAGUUUUAUGGAAUAUCUUGAUCUAAUCUGAGACAAUAAGGAGGGUCUUUCGUAAUUUAAUUUCAUCUCUUUCAGGAGGCCUCGAGGAUUACGACGAGUUCCACAAUCCACGAACUAAGCGGGACAUGAAUAAGGUUGUCUUUGGUGGUGAUGCUGGAGCGGAAGUGGCUGAUAUGCGUCAUUCAUAUUUUUUCCUGUCUAUGCGGUUGCGUUGGUGAUCAUCUCGAGCUUAUCCGGUCUUUCGGUAUAUACAUAUAUGCGCUUGCUUGUGUGGGGUUCAGCGAAUUUAGGAUCCAUUGGUUGUGUUGUUCAGGAAAAUUCAAGUUACAUGAACGUUGAAUAUACCAACAGUUGUGAUCCAGUAUACUUUGCAUUGGUGUCAACUUGUAGGAUUAUUCUUUCCUAUGCACGCGAUCUGCUGUGAGAAUAUUGAUGAAUGCUACAAAGCGCUUGAGUUAAUUCUUUUGGGCCAUAGCUGAUUUCUUGCAGACAUGUGUAAGCGGAAACCUUCGAAUUUGUGAAAAUUACUCUGGUCUUGUACUUCUUUCACUUGCUCUUGGGAGAGUCCAUUACCAAAAUGAUAAUGAUUUGAUUUGAUUAUUACUCCAAUUCGGCUUUCACGCAAUCCGUGUGAUCAGGGACUUAGAUUGAUUCGUCCAUGUGGAGGCAGGAGAAGAAGAAUCGCCUGACAUGAGACUGGUUAAGCAAAGCGCAUAGGAACCAAAUGUACCUUCGCUGGGUUAGGAAUUAGGACCUCACGAGGUGGUUCAUCCAGCCCCUCUGAGACGGGACAAUACCAAUUGGAAGCUUGUUCAACCCUUCAACAUUCUUGCGACAUUUGGCAUCGUUCAAAAUGUGAAUUCUUUUACAGGAUAUGAAUGCUCUAGGUCUUCUAGAAGUGUUCACGGAUUCCCACAAUCCACACUGAAUGCUCAGUGUCUACUUCGGUUUACCGAUGGGGGAUACCAUCUCUGCAUUUCAGCUCCUGUAACUUGGCGAUAUUAUCCAAUUCCUACCAUUGGUCUUGCUUCUUCAGCAACGGAUUUCUUCCAGACCCCACCCAUGAAAUAUCAUAAUAUUGUCUACUUGAAGACAGUUA
rnacentral:lncRNA from 1 species